rnacentral:lncRNA from 1 species
UUAUGAUAUUCUGACAUUGUUUUUUUAAAUUUAUUUCUCGAGGAUUGAACUAUUUCUAUGUAAAUACACGUUUCGUUUCAUAAGUUAGUCGUGGGGCGAAGCAAUCGAAAUACGUAUGCCGGAUUCAGUUUAAAAAAAAAAAAAUAUUAUUUAAUACCGCGUGGGCAAUGAGGUGGUGCAUAGCAUGGUGUGUUGCUUUUAUCUCGAGGAUUAUAUGGGUGGAAAGUGGGCACAACGAGAAAAACUGUCAUUUGACGGCUGGCCAAUGGGCUUGGCAGGCAAUACGCGAUGUGUUACAUUUACGAAGUUGAUAAAAUAAACUCAAAUAGAACGGUUUCCUCGAUGUUUCCUCCACACUGAUGUUUAUAAUAGUAUUGUUUCAAAAUUGUUCGCAUUUGAAUUAAUGUUCGAUUGUUCGGAAUGAAAACAACACUUAUUUCGUAGAUUAGAAUUAGCAAAUCCAAACGUCGAGCAACUUAAAAUUUUUUUUUUUAAUUAAAAUGAAAAAUGAUCAAUAAUAAUUUUUCAAAUUACGUAAUUUCAAAAUUAAUACGAGUUACGGACAAACACUGACAACUGUUUCACUACAACGAUAAUAUCACUAGCAAUAAUACAACAGCAGCAAUAAUAAAUUCCCACAUUUUUUCACAAAGUUACUAGACCCGACAAACUUACUAGAUUUCUCACAAAUCCACUUUCCAAUUAUCGAUAACAUUGCUAAAGCUGACACUUUCAACGAUUCUAAAAUUAAAAACCCUAAAAGAAACUUGAAACGUUUUUACAAACUACAAAAAAGAAAUUAAAAUAUUUCACGUAGAAAUGAACGAUUUUUCUCUGUAUUUUCAUCGAUCUGUCUUGUCACGUUUACAACGAAAUCCGAGAGGGGUACGUUGUGUCGUGCCUUCACUAUUAAUAGUUUAGAAUAUAUGUCGAGCCCGUACCGGCCUAGUUAAUCCGCGAAUACCGCUCCGUCCAAAGCGCAACAAUGGAAUAUUACAUUUUAUUAGAGGUUCGCGUGUCCCUUGGUAUCCUUCGUUCUCCCAACUUCCUUUUGUUUCGAACGCGAACGUUGCACGAGAAUCUAACGUACGGGAUAGCCGUACGACGUCACGCUGCGACGUUGCAAUUAGCGUCGUAUUAGCGAAAGUCUGAACGCUAUGCGUUCCACCGUGGAUUUCGCGUUCCGCGUGAGAGUGGGGAGGGGAGUAUUAAUCAUAAUUUUCAUUUCUCGAGCCGACCACCACGCAUCAUUAAGAAUCUUACUCGGUUCUUACGUCGAAUUAAAUUUAACCUGUCUGCUAUGCUGCUUUUUUUCCGUUUUCUUCCCCUCCCCUUUUAUUUCUGGAUUAUUUCUUCUUCUAGAAACGUGUCGUUUAGAGAGGUUAGCUAUUGUGAUAUCGCGUUACGGGUAUAAUGAUACGCUUCGCGUAAUUUCAUUGUGAUGGAUGAACGUGUUACGAGAGUAAAAGUUUUCAAAAGAAGAAUGGAACUCUAUGUUAAUCCUAUAAUUAGGAUUCAGCUCUGAACUUUGUAUUAAUUGAAGAAUUACUUUUGGGAGAUCGUCGAAACAUUUAACGUAUUGAGAAAAUUAUCGAUAGAUCGUGGCGAGAGAAAUUUAAUCUUUCUCUUAAGGGAAGGUGAAUUUUAAUGAUAGAGCAUAACAUGAAAUUACGAUCUUAGAAAAAUAUUGUACAAAACACUUGCUAUCUUUAUGAAUUAUUAAUUCCCUGAACUUACCAACGGUUGAGCACCACCGCCUCCCAUUCUGACCCAACGCAAUAAUAAUAACUCUGGCUCUCGGAACAAGAAUAAGAAAACAAAAAAGAAGAAAGAAAUCUGAAGAAAUCUAACGAAAAAGAAGUCCAGAAAUAGAAGCGUUUACGUAACGCUGUAACCGAGUCGAGCAGUAACUCGCCAGGAAACCGCAUACCAGGAGCCGAUUUCCUGCGACGGAGGAGGAGAGAAGGACUCGACGACGAGCAGAGGCGAGAGGAUUCUUCUUCUCGUGAUCCUCUGCUACGUGUUGUACGCUAAGCGAAGAGAAGACCGAUCGAGCAGAUUUAGUAGCCGCGUCUAACGGUUCACCGAGGUUCUUCUCUCCUCUUAGGUUUACCAGCAAACACACACGGCCACCAACCAGCAAUACAAUCGGCAGCCCACCGGCGCCUUUCCUGUUUGUUCCUAGGGUUCUUCGAUACGUACUUCCCUCUCUCUCUCUCUCUCUCUUUGUUCAUCUCGGUUGGUUCGGUGAUGUUUGUAGUCUCCUCGAAUGCGAGUGCAGUGACCCAUCGAGGAUGCUUGGCUUUUGCAAAGGAUGCUUGGAUUUUUCUUUAGGAAGGAAGGAAAGAUGCUUUAAGGAAGAAAACUCUUACUCGACUCACUUACUUUUUCCAACGAUGCUCACGAUGAUGGAGAUGAUUUAGAUAUUUAGAGAGGAUGUUCAAUGUUUUUUACGAGAAAUUUUGAAAUUCUCGAUGAAUAAUACGUGAUGGAAAAUAGAGAAAUUUGAGGCAAGUAAAGGACAAAAUUUGAACACUGAAGAAUCCUUGUAAUUUUCCUUUAAAUUGAUCAGAAACAUAUUUCAUCCGUACACGAAUAAAUUGUACAAAAUAUAAUAAUUAAAAUACUUAUUGAAAAUCAGUAAACUUAUUAGAAUCAUUAAAAAAAA